ensembl:lncRNA
CUAAACAUCUAGACAUACUGGUCUAAAACCCAGGUAGUUCAGGCAUUCCCCUACCUGCUUGUUCUGCUCUCAGCUGCACAACACCUGCUGCCAGCCUGGAGGGGUCGUGUGGGUUGUGCUGCCACGCUUCCCACUGCAUUACCUUUGGUUCAGCCCAGUGGGUGUCCAGUGGUGGUGUACCCACAGAGGGCCCCCACACCACAGUGUGCCUCCUUCCAGCCAAAUGGCUGCCUCAUUCUGACACUUCAAAGGUAGUUUUAUGCUUUUUUCCUACUCAAACCCUCACCUGCAUUUGUCUUCAAUUCAUGCUCAGGUUGGGUAUUUAAAAGAAUUUCAUCUCAGAAAGAGCACUGAUGCACUGGCACAGCUGCCCAGGGAUUGAUGGGGUCACCAUACCUGGAGGUGUUUCAGAGCUGUGGAGAUGUGGCACUGAGGGGUGUGGUCAAUGGGCAUGGUGGGCUGGGGUUGGACUUGGGGAUCUUAGAGGUUUUUUCCAACCUUAAUGAUUCUGUGAUUUUAUGAUAUAACCGCAAUCCCUGGCUUGAAAAAGCAGACACUUCAGCCUUGUGCACAGUCCUUGUGCAAGGUGGGAAAAAAUCAAUAACUGAAGAUGAUUGAGGAACUUUCACUUUGUUUUUUGUAGAACAAAUAUGCACAUACAACUCUAGGGUGUAUAACUUCACCUCCUAUACAAAAGGCAGCCAUACACAUUUUGAGCCAUCCAGGCCGCUUGUGUGGCUGAGGAACUGUGUCCCACCAGCAUACUGCUUGUGGUGACCAGCAUCAAUCAGCCUCCACGUAGCAUUUGUUCUCAGUGUUUUCCACACCUCAUUUCUGGAGGCGUGUGAACUAGCACAGCAUGUGUGUACAGUGUGUGGCAAGUUACUGCAGCCUGGAGGGCCUCGAAAAUCAUUAUGAGAAAAUGAUUAACUAAGCAGGAACGUAAGAGUCAUUUUAGGAAAGAGAAAAAGUGCUUCUAAUAAGACAUCCUGUCUUUGACUGAAGCCAGCAGUAAAUGUUUAGGGGAAGAAUGUCAGAAAGUGGGAUCCUGCUGCUGACUGCACUUCCAGCAGCAAGCUCCUCAGAGAAUAAGGAAAGGGUGGUCAUAGAGCUGCCCUCACUGAGUUCCCCAGAUCACUCUUUCUUCCCAUUUCCCACAGAGCUCUUCUGCUGAUGUAUCUAUGCAGUGUGAUAUACUUGUGUCAAUUCAGAGGACAAGUCUAGCAUUUUAUUCUUGCAAACACAAAUACAACCAUUUUGUUAGUAUCUUAGGAGACCAGUUAGAUAUGAAUUGUUGAAUCGUGGCUUCUGGUCUUCUGAAGGUGGCAAUGAUUGGAGGGCAGCAAAGCUCCAAGUGGGUCGUGGUGGAUAAUUAACGUGAAGAGAUGAAUUAGAAAUGCGGUCACAGCCAUCAGAAUGCGAUAGCAGCACUUCCCCCUGAAUAUACACUGAAACUGUGCUCCCCGAGAUAAAUAUUUAUACAGCAAAAUAAUAGGAUUUCCAACGACUUGUACUAAAAAAAGGGGGGAAAAGUUUGUUUUUGUUUUUUUUUUUUUUGUCAUUCUGCUUUCUAAAAUUCAUUUUACUUUCUCAGAGUUUUGCUGUAUUAUUACCCAAACAGAGUGUGAAUGCAGUUCUCUCUCUUCUGGCUGUAUGCUUUGCUUGGACAUGUCAUUUUGGUGCUUCACUUUGCUGUUCCUUCCCAGGGACCAGCUCCCAGGUCAAACAGCACUGCAUCAAUCACAUCUCGAUAUUCACGCUCCUCUGGGAAGUCCUGUGAUGUUCAGAAAUGACUGCUGGCUGCCCUUUCACACACAGAAUUAACUAUUCCCAGUUGGUAAGUGCAUUUCUUAACUCUGCUGAAGCUACGUACAACGUGCAAAAGAAGUUACGAAGAAAACGAUAACACAUUUCAUGUCACUACCCAUAUAUAUAUACACCUUCUCUUAAUUCAUAUGAAUUUUUCAAUUUAUCUAAUUCCUAUAACAUUUUUUUUAGGGUGAGACUGCUUUUAUGAUAAAAAAUGUCUCUGCAUUUGAUGCAUAUGAUGUCUCUGCCGUUACAGUGCAUGCCGACUGCAGAAAGGAUGAAGAGAAGAAUAUCUCUCUCCCUUUUUUCCGCAGCUGAACUCAGGAAGUGGUGGCCUUCAAGCAGAUCUUGUACUGUUGUAAGAGUGUUGAUGGUGUUUGUGCAGAAG